AUGUCACACUUUCUAUUUCAAUCUGUGAUCUUAUCUGACAGGAUUCUGGAGAGGCUGGAGCUUUACCCAGGUGCCCCAGGUCUCCUCUGCUGCUGCUUCACAGAGUCCAGAGGACAGAUCACAGUGACUCAGCCUGGAGCAGUGAGCUCUGCUGUGGGAGCAACUGUGAGCAUCAAGUGUACGACCAGUCAGGAUGUUUAUGUUUCUGGAAGUUCUCAUCUUUUAUCCUGGUACCAACAGAAAGAUGGAGGAGUUCCCAAACUGCUCAUUAAGUAUGCUAGCAGUCAACAAUCAGGGAUUCCAGCUCGUUUUACAGGCAGUGGAUCAAACUCUGACUUCACUCUGACCAUCAGUGGAGUCCAGGCUGAAGAUGCAGCAGUUUAUUACUGUCAGAGUCAGCACUAUCCUAACAGUCAGUGGGUGUUCACACAGUGAAAAACAGUCGUACAAAAA